ensembl:rRNA 5S_rRNA 5S ribosomal RNA
GGUUAUGAACUCCCAUUUUUGAACGCGCCCGAUCUCGUCUGAUCUUGGAAGCUAAGCAGGGUCAGGCCUGGUUAGUACUUGGAUGGGAGACAACAUAAUUU